CCUGGCCCUAAAUUUUUUAUGUUACUCAGAAGCAGAACAUUAUUGCAAGACUCAGAUUUCAAUGUUUUAUUUCUGUGAAAGCCUUCUGGCAGCUCAUGGCCAGGAAUCUGACAAAGCUGGUACCAUGGUCAGAAUGUGUCCCCCUGCUCCCCUGGAAUUCAUGUGUUGAAAUCCUAAGCCCCAAGGUGAUGGCAUCAGGAGAUGGGGCCUUUGGGAAGCAUAAGUGCCCUCAUCAAAGAAAUCUCAGAGAGCUGAGACUUCUACCACAUGAGGACAUAGGGAGAAGUUGCCAUCUGUGAACCAGGAAGCAGGCCCUAACCAGACACUGAAUCUGCUGGUGCCCUGAUCUUGGACUUCCAGACUCCGGAACUGUGAGAAGUAAAUUUCUGUUGUUUGUAAGCCACCUAGUACAUGAUAUUUUAUUGUAGUGGCCCAAGUGGAAUAAGACAGCUAGGCCUCAGAACAAUGAAGGCAAUUAUAUUGCCAAAGGCCUAGGAGUAGCACGGUUGUUGGUUCAUUCAUGACUCGGCUCUAUUUGCCACUGGUUUCCUCAUCUACCUGCGCCCCUACCGCGUGCUUCGUGCCAUCACAGUUAUCAGCCUGAGUUCAUGCCUCCUCCAUGUUGCUAGGCCAUGAACCCUCCCCUGGCCACUUGUCUCUCUCCUUAUCCUUUAAGUGUGAGGGGCGAUUCACAUAAGGAGGGAAGGAAAGAAUACCUGGGAUAUAACAUCACCCUGCACUUAAACAUCAUCAGUGUGGAAAAUACCCAGCUAGACCACUGCCUUGCUUUACCCGAGAUGAGAGCUGAGCAGACUGUAAACCAAAAAUACAAUUCCAAGGCCUCCUGCAACCAUCUGAAUGGACUGCCUUCCAGCCAGGGCACUCUAACAUUUAACCUGAAAGACUGGUUCAGGCCAUGACAGGAAGUGGGGGUCGAACAUGCUUCAUUAUACCCCUCCAGCAUUAUCAUCAACACAGACCUUGAGUCUGAUAAGACACACGUGCAGUCUAUUCUCUCUAAAGCCUGCUACUUGGCUUUAGGAGGCUUCAUUUGCAUGAUAAAACCUAGGUCUCCACAAUCCCUUAUUAUAACCCAGACCUUCCUUUCUACUAAUGAUAACUCCUUCAACCAACUGUCACUCAGAAUACCUGUGACCUGGAAGGCCCCCACCCUUUCCAGCUGGAACCAAUGUAAACCUUACAUGUAUUGACUAAUGUAUUAUUAUGUCUCCCUAAAAUGUAUAGAAGCAAGCUAUAUCCCAACUACCUUGGGCAUAUGUUGUCAGGACCUCCUGAGGCUGUGUCAUACGCAUGUCCUUAACCUUAGCAAAAUAAACUUUCUAAAUUGAUUGAGACUUGUCUAAGAUGCUCUUGGGUUUACAAGACUAACAACAAACCCUCAACACUCACUUGUCUCAAAGCUUUUCUUUUUCACAAAGGAGAUACCAUCAAGAAUGUGAAAGAAAAGGCUGGGCAUGGUGGCUUGUGCCUGUCAUCCCAGCACCUUGGGAGGCCAAGGCGAGUAGAUCACUUGAGGUCAGGAGUUCAAGACCAGCUGGCCAACAUGGUGAAACCCCAUCUCUACUAAAAAAAAAAAAAAUACAAAAACUAGCCGGGUGUGAUGGCAUGUGCCUGUAAUCCCAGAUACUUGAGGGGCUGAGGCAGGAGAAUGGCUUGAACCUAGGGGAUGGAGGUUGUGGUGAGCCAAGAUCGACCCACUGCACUCGAGCCUGAGUGAUAGAGCAAGACUCAGUCUCAAAAAAAAAGAAAAAAGAGAAAAAAAAGAAUGUGAAAGAAAGGACAAGAAAGAAACAGCAUCUGUGCAUGAAUGUGACUUCCUGACUCUAUGGAAGGAAAAAUUUCAACAACUUGAGUAAAUAUUUUCUUCCUCAUUAUGGGUUUCAACUGUCUGUGAAAAUUAACGUUAGCCCCUGAAGAACGUGUGGAAGGACUUGGUGUAAUGGGUCCCUCUUUAGAUCAACAGGUGUUAACUAAAUUGGAGAGUGCUCUCAGCUUUCAGGUGAGUUCUCAGCAGGAGGUUGGCUGGAGGGCUAGAUGCUUGCCCUGGACAGCCCCUCCUCUCCCAAUCUCUGAUUGUUCAGAAGUGCACGGCGGCAUCAACAGAUGUGGUUGAUGGUCUUACUGAAGCCCCUGAUGAAAGGCCCAGGUAAGGGGACAUGAUCUAAUGGGGGAGGGUAGAUGCAUUCUAGGUAGAGGAUGGAUCCUCCUGGGUGAGAGGCACAAAUUUCCAGAAGGUGGUGGAGGUUUUCCUCCUGAAAACUAGAAGCAAGGGUCUCUUUGAGGGUGAGCUGUGGGUGUGAGGAGAUUGGAGUCAGGUUACAACAGGUUGCUUCUGAGUCCAAGCAGGAACCCUGUUGUGAAGAGUUAACAUCUCCAGUGCUUGUUGUCUUAGGAUUCUGAAGAAAGCCAAAUCUAGCACUUAGCUUAACUUUUCCUUGUUUUCUUUUAAAAUUACCUUGACCCUUCGGUAAGGAAGUUGUCCCAAACAGGCUGGUGUAGGUGGAUUGCGGAAGCUGGAUUGUAGAGUCAAGGUAGCAAAAGGGAAGGUCAGUGAUUGUGUCUGCAGAGAAGCAUCAGUAACUUGUGGGCGUCUCACUUCCUGGGAUUUGAGUUGAGGAGCAGUGGGGCUGUGAGUGGGACUCUUGGAAGACAGAAGAGCACCAUGAGGUCCUGAGACAGAGCUCUUUGUCUGGGGAACUUCUCAAAUCCUCACACUUCUGUCAAAACAUUGUGUGGGGAGAGGGUGGGAGUGCAGAAAGUAGGAUGGGAUAAAUUCAAGGAGAAAGUAUAAUUGAUUGAUAACAAGAUCACUUGAACUUUAAUUUAUGAUUAAAACCUUAAGCCUUAAGACUGUCAUUCUGGUGUCAUUCGGACAUUAGCCAAGACUUUAGGUAAGAAAGGAUGUAUUCAGGAGGGAGGAACUUGAUUGUGCUUCAGGAAUCGUAUCUCCUGGGACAUUAAUCACUUCACCCAUGAGGCAGUCCUUUGAUGGCAAUAGCAGGUUUUACUACCUGAAACCAAGGAAGGCUAAGUGGGUAAUUGGCCUCCAUGGUUAGUAGCAGAAAAACGUGGCUGUAUUUCAUGUAUAAAUCAUGUAUUUCUGCCUGUCCUCCCAAAGGAGUUCCUUUUCCUUAGAGUAAGAAUGCUCCAAAGAGCACGUGAAUACAUUUAACAGAAUGAGAUGCAAUCAGAGGUGAUUAAAAGCAUCAGUGAUGCUGAUUACAAGUCAGGUCAACAAGGAAGUAUAUUUCCUUUAAAUACAUAAGUGUUGCUACUGUGAUAGCCUUGACAUCUAUUUCUACCUGUUAGUGGAUUUGACCCACAGUCACGCACAAUAAAGCCCUAUUUUUAAAACUACAGUCGCUGUAGUCAGUCAUUACAAACACUCCUUUACCUACUGCUUUUGAUUCACAGUAACUGUCUAGCAAAACCCUGGAUAAAUUCAACUCUGCCUGACACCUGUGCAGUUGAUUGUGGCAGUAAUAGCCCAGGCUUUUCAGAAAAGAGAGAUCCACUGGAAAGAAAAAGUCGUUGACACAGCCCACAGAAAGAGGGACACCUUCAGGAUAUGUGAAAAUGUGCUUUAAAGAGGAAAUGAAGACUACAGAUGCCACAUGACCAACGUGGGGUCACCAAUUGGAACAGGGAAGAGAUGUGCACAAUGGCCCUCUCUCCAGCUUGUGUGAGCCGGCUCCAACACACAUCCUGUGGAGCGAGAGUUUGGGUGCGAACUGACCACUCUUAAUUUUAGAGUGGGGCUGGCCGUGCCGGAAAGAUCAACCAUGUGAUUUACGGUGGAGGCCUUGGUCAUCUGGUAUCAGUCCACCUUGAGACUGAGUUCAGCCACAUGGGGAAUCAAUCAAUCAUGCCUACAUAACAAAGACCCAGUAAAAACUCUAGACACUGAGUUUGGAUAUCUUUCCCAGUUGGCAAUACUCCAUGCAUAUUGUCACACAUUGAUGCCAGGAGGGUAAUGUGUCCUGACUCCAUGGUGAGGACAAUGGAAAUUUUGCAUUUGGAACACUCACAGACUCUACCCUGUGUCUGUCUUCCAUUGUCUAAUUUUAAUCUGUAUUCUUUCUGUGUAAUAAACUAUAACUGUGAAUAUAAUAGCUUCCAGUGAGUUCUGUAAAUCACUCUACAGAAUUAUUAAAUCUGAGGGUCAUUUUGCAAACCCCUCAAACUUGCAGUCAGUGUCAGAGGUGAGGGUAGUCUUGGAGACUGUGCCAUUAAACUUUACAGUUUGGUUGACUCCAGGUAAAUACUAUAGAGCAAAAAUAAUGAAAAUGGUACACUGUUGGUGCAAGAGUAAAUAAAUUAAUAGCGUAAUGGAGAAAAUGUAGAAACACUGAACUCUACAUAAAAAAUUAGUAUAUGAUGAAAUAGCAGUUAUUUUAUUUUAAAUUUUUUUUACACAAAUAAGUUCUUUAGCAGUGAUUUCUGAGAUUUUGGAACAACCGUCACCCAAGCAGUGUACACUGCACCCAGUGUGUAGUCUUUUAUCCCUCACCCUCUUUCCCCGCUUUGCCCCAAGUCCCGAAAGUCCACUGUGUCAUUCUUAUGCCUUUGCAUCCUCACAGCUUAGCUCCCACUUAUGAGUGAGAACGUAUGAUGUUUGGUUUUCCAUUCCUGAGUUACUUCACUUAGAAUAAUGGUCUCCAGUUCCAUCCAGGUUGCUGCAAAUGCCAUUAUUUUGUUCCUUUUUAUGGCUGAGUAUAUAAUAUUUUCAGUAUUCCAUGUAUUAUACACCAUAUUUUCUUUAUCUGCUCAUUAAUUGAUGGGCAUUUGGGCUGGUUCCAUAUUUUUGCAAUUGUGACAAAGUAGCAUUUUAAAUCAAUGAGGACAGGAAGGGACUUUCAAUAAAUGAUGCUGUAACAAUUGGCUUAUCAUUUAGAAAAGUUUUCUGCUUUAGAACACACAACUCCACAUGUAUUAAGAAUAUAAAUGUGAACAAUAAAAAUAUAGAAAAGAUAUCUGUGUAAAGAAGUUAUUUCUAUGCUUAAUGGCAAAAUUUUAAAAAAAUUGAGAGAUUUGAUUAUUUAAAAUGAAAACAGUUCUGAUCAGCAGAUAAUCUGCACAAACAAAAUCAAGUCAAAUGAAAAACUGGAAUCAUACAUUUGGAAUACAUAAUACAGAAGAAGGAUUAAUAUGUUCUACAC
rnacentral:lncRNA from 1 species